rnacentral:rRNA from 1 species
AGUCGAGCGACGCAUAUCGGAGGGGUAACCCACUGGUAUGACGGAGCGGCGAACGGGUGAGUAACACGUGAGCAACCUGCCCCGAAGACUGGGAUAGCCCGAGGAAACUCGGAUUAAUACCGGAUACCCUCUCAGAAUCACAUGGUUCUGCGAAGAAAGGCUCCGGCGCUUCGGGAUGGGCUCGCGACCUAUCAGCUAGUUGGUGAGGUAACAGCCCACCAAGGCAAUGACGGGUAGCUGGUCUGAGAGGACGAUCAGCCACACUGGGACUGAGACACGGCCCAGACUCCUACGGGAGGCAGCAGCAGGGAAUUUUGCACAAUGGGCGCAAGCCUGAUGCAGCAACGCCGCGUGGGGGAUGAAGGCCUUCGGGUUGUAAACCCCUUUCAGGAGGGACGAAAUUGACGGUACCUCCAGAAGAAGCCCCGGCCAACUACGUGCCAGCAGCCGCGGUAAUACGUAGGGGGCAAGCGUUGUCCGGAUUUAUUGGGCGUAAAGAGCUCGUAGGCGGCUCAACAAGUCGGUCGUGAAAACCCGGGGCUCAACCCCGGGCCGGCGGUCGAUACUGCUGUGGCUAGAGUCCGGUAGAGGAGAGUGGAAUUCCCGGUGUAGCGGUGAAAUGCGCAGAUAUCGGGAGGAACACCAGUAGCGAAGCGGCUCUCUGGCCG